CACCUCUGGACUUUUCAUCUAAAUCACAGAAUCAUCUAGGUUGGAAGAGACCUCCAAGAUCAUCUAGUCCAACCUUUAACCUAACCAUGGGCUGUACCCUCAAUAGCAACAGAGCAGAGCAGCUAUAAUAUAGAGUGCUAGAUGCAAUAAAUCUUGUCGCUGCGAACAGCACACUUCUCAUCAGAGUUCUGGGAACUGCAAG